rnacentral:rRNA from 1 species
UACGUAGGUGGCAAGCGUUGUCCGGAUUUAUUGGGUUUAAAGGGUGCGCAGGCGGAUAUGUAAGUCAGUGGUGAAAUCUCUAGGCUUAACCUGGAAAUUGCCGUUGAUACUAUAUAUCUUGAAUGCUGUGGAGGUAAGCGGAAUAUGUCAUGUAGCGGUGAAAUGCUUAGAUAUGACAUAGAACACCUAUUGCGAAGGCAGCUUACUACGCAGAUAUUGACGCUCAUGCACGAAAGCGUGGGGAUCAAACAGG